rnacentral:misc_RNA from 1 species
AGCAGCCGCGGUAAUUCCAGCUCCAAUAGCGUAUAUUAAAGUUGUUGCAGUUAAAAGCUCGUAGUUGAAUUUCGGGAUUGGCGCAUCGGUCGUGCCUCACGGGGUAUGAACUGGUGCAGUCAAUUUCUCACCUUCUGGAGAACCGCGAUGUCCUUAAUUGGAUGCCGCGGGGAACCAGGACCUUUACUUUGAAAAAUUGAGUGUUUAAAGCAGGCAUUUUUGCUUUGAAUACAUUAGCAUGGAAUAAUAAAAUAGGACGGCAUGGUUCUAUUUUGUUGGUUUCUAGGACCACCGUAAUGAUUAAUAGGGAUAGUUGGGGGCAUUAGUAUUCAAUUGUCAGAGGUGAAAUUCUUGGAUUUAUUGAAGACUAACUAUUGCGAAAGCAUUUGCCAAGGAUGUUUUCAUUAAUCAAGAACGAAAGUUAGGGAUACGAAGACGAUCAGAUACCGUCGUAGUCUUAACCAUAAACUAUAGACCGACUAGGAAUCAGACGAUGUUUAAUUUUUAAUGUACUUGUUGG